GGGGCCCUGUCAGCUGUCGCCGCUCUUUUGAUGAAUCACAGGCCUGGCCAAACAGCUAAAAAUACUUGCGUACACAUAGAAAAUGCAAAAUUCAUGGCCGCUGAUCCGUGGAAUGCGGUGAAGGUGGCUCCACAUCUACAGCACAAACUGAGGCAAAUGAGCCAACAUUUUGGUGACGCUUACGCUGAUGCGCGGAAUUUGCAAAGUGAGGCGGGUGGCGCGGCGGAUUUGUUUAAGUUCAAGCGCCGCUUGAGUUACGCAAAUAUUUGAAAUCUGGUAACCAGGCAACGUUCCGUUGCGGUCUGUGACUCAGAAAAACCAUUGCAGAUCCACAUUUAGCGGUCAGCGAAGCGGCGUCAGGUGGCCAGGCGACACUCAAACAUGUGGAUGUAGCAUGUGUAUACACAUAUAUUUGCAGAAAAACGACGUCUACGCAAGGCAUAUCCAUCCUUGAUCAGCAGCACUAACUGAGUUGAUAUAGCCAUUUCAGUCCGUCUCUGAUACACGUGUCAUGUGGAAUAAUCAAUUCCAAGCCAGACAUAAAACUGGAAUCAUCAUAAAAAUAUUUGUGUAAAUGUUUUACGGCCACCGUGUUUGCUUUACUUGGAUCGGGCAUAAAGCAUGGCCGGGACUUAUCCCUUGGUCCUGAGCAAAGAAGGCGCAGACGUCGGCAUUGUUUGGGUUACGGGUUACGGGCUAGAGGACGUACUGCACCACUUGCCGUAAAAUAGAGACGGGACACCAAGCGGCAACUACAACAACAUCGCUGACGCUGCUGCUAUUAACAUUUGCGUUGACAUCCUUUGGGCUGCGUUUUUCUCUUUAUUUUUCUUUACUUUACUUUUUUUUAUUAUUUUUUGAGUGUGUAUAUUUCUUCUUUUUUUUACACUUUCAUAUUGCUUAGCCGUUUUCCCAACUCAAUUUUUUUAUA
rnacentral:sRNA from 1 species